AUUGAACGCUAGCGGGAUGCUUUACACAUGCAAGUCGAACGAGUGGCGGACGGGUGAGUAAUAUCUCGGAACGUGCCCCGUAGCGGGGGAUAACUACUCGAAAGCGUAGCUAAUACCGCAUACUAUUGGAGCUGCCCAUAUCGGAUUAGCUAGUUGGUGGGGUAAAGGCUCACCAAGGCAACGAUCCCUAGCUGGUUUGAGAGGAGGACCAGCCACACGGGGACUGAGACACGGCCCAGACUCCUACGGGAGGCAGCAGUGGGGAAUUUUGGACAAUGGGGGAAACCCUGAUCCAGCCAUCCCGCGUGUAUGAGAAGGCCUUCGGGUUGUAAAGUACUUUUGGCAGGGAAGCGGUAUCUGCAGAAUAAGCACCGGCUAACUACGUGCCAGCCGCCGCGGUAAUUC
rnacentral:rRNA from 1 species